GAUGAACGCUAGCGGCAGGCCUAACACAUGCAAGUCGAGGGGCAUCGCGGUGCAGCAAUGCACUGGCGGCGACCGGCGUACGGGUGCGUAACGCGUAUGCAACCUGCCCCGCACCGGGGGAUAGCCCGCCGAAAGGCGGAUUAAUACCCCAUGGUCCCGGGGGCCCGCAUGGGCAUCCGGGUAAAGCCUUGGCGGUGCGGGAUGGGCAUGCGUGCCAUUAGCUGGCUGGUGGGGUAACGGCCCGACCAGGGCAACGAUGGCUAGGGGGUCUGAGAGGAUGGUCCCCCACACUGGUACUGAGACACGGACCAGACUCCUACGGGAGGCAGCAGUGAGGAAUAUUGGUCAAUGGGCGGAAGCCUGAACCAGCCAUGCCGCGUGCGGGAUGGAAGGCCCUACGGGUUGUAAACCGCUUUUCCCCGGGAAGAAUAACCCCGAUGAGUCGGGUGAUGCCGGUACCGGGGGAAUAAGGGAUCGGCUAACUCCGUG
rnacentral:rRNA from 1 species